AUUGAACGCUGGCGGCAGGCCUAACACAUGCAAGUCGAGCGGAUGAAGGGAGCUUGCUCCUGGAUUCAGCGGCGGACGGGUGAGUAAUGCCUAGGAAUCUGCCUGGUAGUGGGGGAUAACGUCCGGAAACGGGCGCUAAUACCGCAUACGUCCUGAGGGAGAAAGUGGGGGAUCUUCGGACCUCACGCUAUCAGAUGAGCCUAGGUCGGAUUAGCUAGUUGGUGGGGGAAGGGCCUACCAAGGCGACGAUCCGUAACUGGUCUGAGAGGAUGAUCAGUCAAACUGGAAAUGAGACAAGGGUCAGACUCCGACGGGAGGCAGCAGUGGGGAAUUUUCCGCAAUGGGCGAAAGACGGAAGGAGCAAUGCCGCGGGAGUGAGGAAGGUAGUCGGAUCGUAAAACUCUGUGAGUAGGGAAGAACAGAAGGGAAAGUAACUGUGCACAUCGUGACGGUACCUAAUCAGAAAGCCACGGCUAACGACGUG
rnacentral:rRNA from 1 species